rnacentral:lncRNA from 1 species
GGCAGGAGCUGGUCAGAAUGAGUAACUUGCUUAUAAAAAGUCUCAAACUUCUCUGUCUGACUGGAUCCACCCAGAGAAAGUUCCUUCAAUUCCAUCAACACACACAAGAACUUCUUAACUACAGAAGUACCACUCAUGCCAGCCAUCAGAAAGGCAAAAGAAUGGGAAUGGAAGUGGCUGUUGGUGAAAACAAGGAGAACUUGCCUUCUCAUCAGCUGAAGGAUUUUCUGGGUCACCAUGGACUCUGUGCAUGGCUCACACCACGAGGCCCUCGGUCACAGCAGCGCAGGUGUGCUGGGCCCAGGGACAGGAGGGCAUGGUGGGGGAUGCAGGGUAACAUCUCUGGGACCUGCUGCCUGAAACUAGGUCACCUCCUGUGACAGUAGAAAUGACUCUCAGCACAGAUGGCAGGUGGGACCUGGGAGUGACCUUGCCCUGUGGUCAUUUUCUCAUGCAGAGGCUGAGCUGGUGCACUGCAGGCAGUUGUUUGGUGACACGUGCAGCAGGUGCUGCGCUCUGGCCACGUUGUUUCUACAGCCUGGGGAUGUCUGGGAAAGCCACUUUUGCCUUGUGGCAUAGUGUCUCCCCCUCCAGAGCAAGGCGGUGUCCUGCCACAGCUCAUCCCAGAAAACGACAGGUCCCUUUCCAUUCUGCUCUUCUCUCUUUUCCUUUCAUGCAGCCUGCUCUUGGGAAGGGCACCCCUUAGGAAAUAAUGGGGGGACACAGUCUGCUCCACCUCUCAGUCAUCAAAUUCAGAUCAGCACUUUGAGGCAAAGAAAAGCAAACCAUCACUUAUUGCACAGAGACAGCUGGAAAUGCUGCAAGGUCCUUUUAAAACUCACCAAUUUUGGUCAUGUCUAGUUAUUGCUGGGAAAAGCUCAAACAGUACAGUUAAUGUAGGUGCUUUUCUCAUCCAGCCUUAGUGGGCCAUUUUAAAUGCCUUAACUGAGCUCAAAAGUGGUGCUGUUUUCUCUCCCUUGAAAAUACAUUUAAAAGACAUUACAUUUGUUUGAGAACUUUGCUGAUUGACUCUAGGUAAAAAUAAGCACUGUCUUGUAUUACAUUGUUAUGUCACAUAAGCACCUUGCACAAUUACCUUAGCCCCAACAUAAUUUUAAUUAUGUUAGAAUUAGUGCAAAGAAUUUUAUCUGAGGCUCAUGUAAAUAUUUUGUGCUCUCAAUACUUUGAUGUACCUAGAAAGAGAUUAAUGUUUGCUUUGAUAAUUAGUCUGUUGCAUGUGGCCAAAAAUUCAUUACAAACACA